rnacentral:rRNA from 1 species
UGGGGAAUCUUGCACAAUGGGGGAAACCCUGAUGCAGCGACGCCGCGUGAGCGAUGAAGCCCUUCGGGGUGUAAAGCUCUUUCGGCAGGAACGAUAAUGACGGUACCUGAAGAAGAAGCUGCGGCUAACUACGUGCCAGCAGCCGCGGUAAUACGUAGGCAGCAAGCGUUGUUCGGAGUUACUGGGCGUAAAGAGUGUGUAGGCGGUGCUCUAAGUUCGGUGUGAAAUCUCCCGGCUCAACUGGGAGGGUGCGCCGAAAACUGGAGUGCUCGAGUACGGGAGAGGAAAGCGGAAUUCCUGGUGUAGCGGUGAAAUGCGUAGAUAUCAGGAGGAACACCUGCGGUGUAGACAGCUUUCUGGACCGUAACUGACGCUGAGACACGAAAGCGUGGGUAGCAAACAGG